UCAGGCCUAACACAUGCAAGUCGAACGGCAGCACGGACUUCGGUCUGGUGGCGAGUGGCGAACGGGUGAGUAAUACAUCGGAACGUGCCCAGUCGUGGGGGAUAACGUAGCGAAAGCUACGCUAAUACCGCAUACGAUCUACGGAUGAAAGCGGGGGAUCGCAAGACCUCGCGCGAUUGGAGCGGCCGAUGGCAGAUUAGGUAGUUGGUGGGGUAAAGGCUCACCAAGCCGACGAUCUGUAGCUGGUCUGAGAGGACGACCAGCCACACUGGGACUGAGACACGGCCCAGACUCCUACGGGAGGCAGCAGUGGGGAAUUUUGGACAAUGGGCGCAAGCCUGAUCCAGCCAAUGCGCGUGCAGGAUGAAGGCCCUCGGGUUGUAAACUGAAUGGUACAGAACGAAAAGGCUCUGG
rnacentral:rRNA from 1 species